ACACGUAGGGGCCUGACGUUGUUCGGAAUCAUUGGGCGUAAAGGGCGCGCAGGCGGCCGUCCAAGUCCGGUGUUAAAUGGUCGGGCUCAACCCGAUCAUGCGCUGGAAACUGGGCGGCUUGAGUCCCGUAGGGGAUGCCGGAAUUCCAGGUGUAGGGGUGAAAUCUGUAGAUAUCUGGAAGAACACCGAGGGCGAAGGCAGGCAUCUGGCCGGAGACUGACGCUGAGGCGCGAAGGCGCGGGGAGCGAACAGGUUUAGAUACCCUGGUAGUCCGCGCAGUAAACGAUGCGCACCAGGUGUCGGGCGGCAGCGCCCGGUACCGGAGCUAACGCGAUGAGUGCGCCGCCUGGGGAGUAUGCCCGCAAGGGUGAAACUCAAAGGAAUUGACGGGG
rnacentral:rRNA from 1 species